UACGAAGGGGCGAGCGUUGUUCGGAUUUACUGGGCGUAAAGGGCGCGUAGGCGGCCCUCCUAGUCGCGUGUGAAAGCCCCGGGCUCAACCUGGGGAAUUGCGCGCGAAACGGGGGGCGUUGAGUUCGGGAGAGGAGGCGUGGAAUUCCCAGUGUAGAGGUGAAAUUCGUAGAUAUUGGGAAGAACACCGGUGGCGAAGGCGGCGCUCGUGGACCGAGACU
rnacentral:rRNA from 1 species